CCCCUCUCAGGAUCAUAUCUGGAGAGUUUCCAGUAUUCUAUCAGUCUCAGCUACGGGAGGGAGAAUCAAGCAGAAGCAUACCCAUUCCACUCCUUGCUUGGGCAGUGGCUAGCAAGUGGAAGGCAAUCUGCUACAAGU